rnacentral:lncRNA from 1 species
GUAUUUUAUUAAUUUCUGGUUUAUUUUAUUUUUGGUUUCAAAUAUGAUGGUGAUGAGGAAAUUCUGUAUGUCAUUAAUUCCUUUUAUAUUUUAUUUUAUUUUAGCAUUCAGUGACUUUAAAUGCGACGGUGAUGGGGAAAGGAAAGUCGCAGUAAAAAGGAUUCUGCUCUGAAGACUGUACAUGCCAAGAUUAACAGCCCGUGCUUUGCUACUUACACCUCGCCGUGGUUCUCCCCCGCCAUCCCCGAGAAGAGGGUCAUGGGCUACCUUGGGAGCUGUUGGAAGCAGCAGAGGCACAACUCUUUCCCUGAGGUGCUCCUAGACACCCUGCAACUAUAUUCAACCCUUCAGUACAGGUUUGCCCCAAAGGUACAGGCUGCUCUAAGCAAGAAGUCAAGCGCUGCUCUGGAAAACAGACUUGUCUUCAUGCGGUUCCUCAUCGGAAGAUACAAGCUGUCACGAUCCCUUGCCAAUCACACGAGAACUGACCUAGGGAGAACAGCAGCUGAAGGUUAUAAGUUCCUGUUGCAUUUUUGA